rnacentral:rRNA from 1 species
CCUACGGGUGGCAGCAGUGAGGAAUAUUGGUCAAUGGACGCGAGCCUGAACCAGCCAAGUAGCGUGCAGGAUGACUGCCCUACGGGUUGUAAACUUCUUUUAUAAAGGGAUAAAGUGAGGCACGUGUGCCUUUUUGUAUGUACUGUAUGAAUAAGGAUCGGCUAACUCCGUGCCAGCAGCCGCGGUAAUACGGAGGGUCCGAGCGUUAUCCGGAUUUAUUGGGUUUAAAGGGAGCGUAGGUGGGUUGUUAAGUCAGUUGUGAAAGGUUGCGGCUCAACCGGAAAAUUGCAAUUGAUACUGGCAGCCUAGAGAACAGUUGCGGUAGGCGGAAUGCGUGGUGUAGCGGUGAAAUGCUUAGAUAUCACGAAGAACUCCGAUUGCGAAGGCAGCCUACCAAACUGCCACUGACAUUGAUGCUCGAAAGUGUGGGUAUCAAACAGGAUUAGAUACCCGAGUAGUC